rnacentral:rRNA from 1 species
GAUGAACGCUGGCGGCGUGCCUAAUACAUGCAAGUCGAGCGAACAGACGAGGAGCUUGCUGCUCUGACGUUAGCGGCGCACGGGUGAGUAACACGUGGAUAACCUACCUAUAUGACUGGGAUAACUUCGGGAAUCCGGAGCUAAUCCCGGAUAAUAUCUUGAACCGCAUUGUUCAAUGGUGAAAGACGGUUUUGCUGUCACUUAUAGAUGGAUCCGCGCCGCAUUAGCUAGUUGGUAAGGUAACGGCUUACCAAGGCAACGAUGCGUAGCCGACCUGAGAGGGUGGUCGGCCGCACUGGAACUGAGACGCGGUCCAGACUCCUACGGGAGGCAGCAGUAGGGAAUCUGCCGCAGUGGGCGAAAGCCUUACGGAACAAGCCCGCGUGAGUGAUGAAGGUCUUCGGAUCGUAAAACUCUGUUAUUAGGGAAGAACAAAUGUGUAAGUAACUGUGCACGUCUUGACGGUACCUAAUCAGAAAGCCACGGCUAACUACGUG